UAAGCAACAACCUUUUCUCAUUGUGUUGUUGUUGGUUAAUCAAUCAUUUAUUUCACUCUUAAUUAUUGUAUUUUAUUAUUGUAUUUUAUAUCGUUGUUACAAUUAAGUCAUCAUCAAUGGUUGAAUUUAAUCAAUGGGAGAAACCAUAUUACAAUAAACCUUAAGGUUGUUAAACAUACAACUUGUUAACAAACGGUUUGGCGGUGGGUUUUGUUCGCACGUGUUGCUAUCCAUAUUUACAAUGCAUCAACUUCACCACCAUUUUCAUCAUCAGAAUGGUAAGUCAAUGUGAUGAAUCAGAAAACAUGAAAUGCCUUCCCUUGUUCCCUAGAGGUGUAAGGAAUGACCUUAAAUACCGUUUUUGUUAGCUUUUUUUCAUUUAUUUAUUCAUAUUGUUAUUGUAUUCAAAUAAUGAUUUAGGAUCUGUAUACCAAUCCCUAUUUAUAUCACCAUUUUUAUUAAGCUUUAAGUAACAAUAAAUAUAAAUCAAUCUGUACGGUUGUUCAUCUUUUUAUGCCUAAAAAUCAAAGUAUUGUAUUUUUAAACUCUAUUAUUUAUAAAACCAACAACAAUUUAUCAUAUAUGCUAAUUAAACCAGUUAGCUAACCUGAUGAUUAUUUGAUUAUUUCAUUCUGAUAUGAGGCUUUUUAUUACUUCCAGUCAACUAUUUGUGUGUCUGUUCAACUUCAAUGUCCAUUGAGUUAACACGUAAAGCAAAAUGACUAUUAUAGCCACUCCAUUAAUUUUUGUGGUUAAACGGCUUACACUUAAUUAAUUGUCUCAGGCUUGGUUAGACACUUCUGCUUCACAAAUCAAUAAAAAAUGAAUUGAUGGCUGUAAAUUGUUAUUAUCAAAUCAGAUAGAUGAUUAGACAGAUGAAGUUAAUGAUUAAUUAAAGUUGUGUAAGAAGAGUUAACUGUUUUUUUCUUCUUCAUCAUAUGUUUAAUCAAUUUGUUAAAUUCCUUACGGAGCUUAACAAGGUAACUUAUUACUUAAUUAAGUUGGUUAAUUUGAUUAAUACAAUUACCAUGAAUUAAAAUAAAUGUUAAAUAUUACAAAAACAAAAGUCGACAAAAAGUUGAAAGCAAUUAAUCGAUAAUCGAUUAUAACAUGUGAUCAAUCUGAAUAUUACGCCAUUUUUAUCAAACUGUGUUAAUUGCUUUUAAUUGUUAUAAUAGCUUUUAAAUGAAGACAACAUUAACCUUAAUUACUUACUAAUAGUUAACCAAUAGUGAUAUCAGUGAUAUCAGUUGAUGAUCAUUUGAUUAUGGCAAAAAGUCCGGUGUUAACCCACCUUUGCAAAUUCUGGUUUCAUCAGUAUUCAAUGCACAGUGUUACAGGUUAAAAAUUUUAAGAAAAUGUGUUUUUGUUUAUUAUGUUUGUUAUUUUGACUGUGUCAAGUAAAUUAUCAACUUUAUAUUCAACUGACAAAAAUACAUUUGUAAAUCAAGUGUGUAAACUAUGUAAUAACUCUCACCAUCAUCAUUAUCUUCUUUGCCGCUUUGAUUGGAGUUAAUCAAAAUUUAUAUCCACCUAAAAAAGCUAAAUGCUGAAUUCCCUGUCAUCAUAGGAAUUACUUGAUAACUCAUUGGAUAGCUUUUCACCUUUCUGUUUGGGCCUUUAUCUUUUACUGAUAACUAUUGAUUUGCACAUAAAAAGUUCUUCCAUAUUUACUCCUUGUAAGGUUAAUCCAUAAAGAUAUAAAGAUGGAAACAUUUCUUUAACCUUACAAAAAAAAGCUAUUUGGUUUUAUGCUUUUGUCUUCUGGUGGACCUUUUUUAUUUGGCAUAAUUUGAUGUUAAACUGUCCAGUUGUGUUGUUUCUUGGUCCAUCAUAAUUUAUCAUUUAAUACAAAUUGUGGUGGAAAAUAAAACGUAUUAAAGAGCACUGGAAAAAGAUAUUUGUUUCAUGGUAAACUCAACCAUUCUUCAACGCUUUACAAUUUGCAGCUCAAGGUGUUUGCUAUAAACACCAAUGAUUUUACCAUUUUAUAGAUUGAUUUUUAGUGAAUCUAAUUUUUUCAAUCCUUUUUCAACCUUUUUUUACUAAUGUACUUCUUAUCUUCAUCAACACCGUCAUCACCAUCAUCAUGAUGAAUCUUUAAUCAUCGAGAACAUCAUCAGUAUCCUUCACAACACUUUGACUUGAUCUAAAAGUCUGAACAAACCACUAAUGUGUAUUAACUUGAUUUUGUUUUUGUUUUCCUUAAAAGUGUAACUGAAUCUCAAAGUUUA